rnacentral:ncRNA from 1 species
CACUCUGGAAAGCGCCGCGCGCCUGCGCGUGGCCACCGAAGGGGUAAGCGCACCCAUCCGUGCGCCAGUCUCUCAGGUUUCCCGACAGAGGGGG